UAGGAUUGCAACGUCUGGCGUAGUGGGGCUGCUAACUUCAUUAUAAACAUGUGGUAAUGUUAAUUCCUAU
rnacentral:tRNA from 1 species